AGGUUGCCUAACCGCAAGGAGGGCGCCUACCACGGUGAGCUUCAUGACUGGGGUG
rnacentral:rRNA from 1 species